rnacentral:rRNA from 1 species
CUACGGGUGGCAGCAGUGGGGGAUAUUGCACAAUGGGGGAAACCCUGAUGCAGCAACGCCGCGUGAAGGAAGACGGUUUUCGGAUUGUAAACUUCUAUCAGCAGGGAAGAAAUUGACGGUACCUGACUAAGAAGCCCCGGCUAACUACGUGCCGGCAGCCGCGGUAAUACGUAGGGGGCAAGCGUUAUCCGGAUUUACUGGGUGUAAAGGGUGCGUAGGCGGUUAUUUAAGUCAGAUGUGAAAGCCCGAGGCUCAACCUCGGGACUGCAUUUGAAACUGGAUAACUAGAGUACAGGAGAGGAAAGCGGAAUUCCUAGUGUAGCGGGGAAAUGCGUAGAUAUUAGGAAGAACACCAGUGGCGAAGGCGGCUUUCUGGACUGUAACUGACGCUGAGGCACGAAAGCGUGGGGAGCGAACAGGAUUAGAUACCCUCGUAGUC